AUUUUCCCUAAGAAACUGCCAGAGAAGCCACCCACUGUGCCUAUUGGCUUUGAUUUUGAAAUAGAGAGAAGAAUCAAACAGCGAGAAGCAAAGAGGGACUCCUGCCUUGGUUUGGAAGAAGAGAACCCAAACCAACCCUAGGACGAGGACGAGGAGUAGCCAGGAGUGAUAAGAACCCAACAAUGGCCCCAGAUGGAGGAACUUUUAAGCCCAAAUCUGGAGAAGAACAUGAAGAACGCGGCUCAGGCUGAGCCUUCUGCGUGGAGCCUGGCAGAAGAGGCGCCUGAAGGCACAGACUUGGGUUCUCUCCGCUCCUCCGGGGUGACGGGGCAGCUCCCUUCAGGCUGCGUCUGCAGCCGAGCCUGGGGCUGGCGCGCCCGGAGCUCUCGGCGGUGCCCGCGCAGUCAAGGGUCGCUCACUGACGGAGUCUGUGGCUUCCACCCUCCUCCUCCGUUCUAUAUGUGAGUCAGAAUAUAUAGUUGAUUUGGUUUGUAAUUUACUCACUUGAAGUGUAAUUUUUACGGCUUUAUCCUUCACUUUUUGUAUUUGUAUUUAAAAAUAAAGAUACUUGAUUUAGUUUACA
ensembl:lncRNA